CUUCUGCAGCGGCUGCCCGGUGCCUUCCCUCAGGUGGCAGGCUGCUGGUAUCCUGCUGGCAAAGGCUGAGGAAACCUGUUUCUCUGUAGCUGUGCCAGCAGAGCACAGUGUCCGACCUGUGGAGUCUGCCGGUCUGACAGCUAGAAAGUCGCGUGGAGCCGUCAGAAAGCUACUCACUGGAUUAAAAACCCACCCCUUCUACGUGCUGGAAACACCCUCUCAGGAGCCGGUGGCCUGCAGAGCGUCGUCCUGGGGCCGGGACCCACGCCCCCACCUGUCGGGCCCCUUGCUAGGGUUCAGCUCCCGUAAGGCUUCUGACAGCUGCCCGGGCACGGUGAGGGAGCAGAGGGAGUGGAAGAGGCCUGUCCUCCCCUGCGGUGCGUCCCCCUCGGUGCACAGACCCCAGAGCGCCCCCCCCUUCCCCCCCCCCCGGCGGCUGGAAGAGUUAGUUUGCCGCCUUCUGGAAUGGAUCUGUAGGUGACUAUCACCUUUUCCUUGUCAGCUUUUAAAAUGAUCAUUUUGUGUAUAAUAGAACUUUUUAGAAUCUUC